rnacentral:rRNA from 1 species
AGAGUUUGAUUCUGGCUCAGGAUGAACGCUGGCGGCAUGCCUAAGACAUGCAAGUCGAACGAGGAGACCUUUGGAAAAUGGAGUGCUUGCACAAAGUUAGAAGAAGAUUAUCUCCUAGUGGCAGACGGGUGAGUAACACGUGGGUAACCUACCUUUAAGCUGGGGAUAACAGUUGGAAACGACUGCUAAUACCGAAUAAGAGGUACGUAAAAAUAUCAUUGAAAGGAGCCUUUAAAGCUUCACUUAAAGAUGGGCCUGCGGCGUAUUAACUAGUUGGUGAGGUAAUGGCUCACCAAGGUAACGAUGCGUAGCCGAACUGAGAGGUUGAACGGCCACACUGGGACUGAGACACGGCCCAG